AACGGACGCUGGCGGCAUGCCUAACACAUGCAAGUCGAACGAGAUCUUCGGGUCUAGUGGCGCACGGGUGCGUAACGCGUGGGAAUCUGCCCUUUGGUUCGGAAUAACAGUUGGAAACGACUGCUAAUACCGGAUGAUGACGAAAGUCCAAAGAUUUAUCGCAAGAGGAUGAGCCCGCGUAGGAUUAGCUAGUUGGUGUGGUAAAGGCGCACCAAGGCGACGAUCCUUAGCUGGUCUGAGAGGAUGAUCAGCCACACUGGGACUGAGACACGGCCCAGACUCCUACGGGAGGCAGCAGUGGGGAAUAUUGGACAAUGGGCGAAAGCCUGAUCCAGCAAUGCCGCGUGAGUGAUGAAGGCCUUAGGGUUGUAAAGCUCUUUUACCCGGGAUGAUAAUGACAGUACCGGGAGAAUAAGCUCCGGCUAACUCCGUGCCAGCCGCCGCAGUAA
rnacentral:rRNA from 1 species